CCUACGGGAGGCAGCAGUGAGGAAUAUUGGACAAUGGAGGCAACUCUGAUCCAGCCAUGCCGCGUGCAGGAAGACUGCCCUAUGGGUUGUAAACUGCUUUUAUACAGGAAGAAACACCUCUACGUGUAGAGGCUUGACGGUACUGUAAGAAUAAGGAUCGGCUAACUCCGUGCCAGCAGCCGCGGUAAUACGGAGGAUCCAAGCGUUAUCCGGAAUCAUUGGGUUUAAAGGGUCCGUAGGUGGAUAAUUAAGUCAGAGGUGAAAUCUUGCAGCUCAACUGUAAAAUUGCCUUUGAAACUGGUUAUCUUGAGUUAUUAUGAAGUAGUUAGAAUAUGUAGUGUAGCGGUGAAAUGCAUAGAUAUUACAUAGAAUACCAAUUGCGAAGGCAGAUUACUAAUAAUCAACUGACACUGAUGGACGAAAGCGUGGGUAGCGAACAGGAUUAGAUACCCUGGUAG
rnacentral:rRNA from 1 species